AGUGUAAUGGCUGUACCGAAAGGACAUUACUAGCCUUCUAUUUAACAGGACUUUAUCCUCCUGGAGAACCACCUUUGGUGUAAAGGUGAAAAUAGUUUGUCUUUAAAUUACAUCUUUUAGUUUUCCAUUUUGUUGCACUUUAAAGGAACACCAAAAAACC
rnacentral:other from 1 species